AGAGACAAGGGGAAACUGUAUAAGCCUCCCCCUGCCCAGCUUGAACUUGGAUUGGGGCUAGCGCGGAGCAGCAGGAGCGGCAAAGGGAGCCGGCGCGGGCGGAGGCGCCUCGGCCACCCGGGCCGCAGCUUCGACAGCGCCCUCGGCGUAGCCGACGUCGGGGACGGCCGGGGAGCGGGACGGAGACGCGCAGCCGGGCGCCUCGUGCCUGCGAGGGCCUCGGCGACGCUGCGUGGGUGCGAGGAAGAGCAGGAAGCGCCCAGCCCUGAGCAUCAGCGAGGAGCACGAGCCCGACACGGGGAGCGCCGAGGACACCGACRCGGGAGGACGCGUCCGGGAUGGAGGAGCCCCAGCCGCGCCAGGGGGCCGGUGCAAACACCGCAGCGUCACCCCAGCGCCAGCUCUCGGACGCUGCCACCAUGCGCAAAGCCAGGGAUAGCGCGUCCCGCAGGAGGGGCUGCGUCCUCGUCCCCUCACCUGCACGAGGACUUUGGGGCCUCAGAGGUGUUUCCUGGUUUGUCCUGCCAGCAAGUGACAGCUGCUUUGGCCAGGUCCCUCUGUGCUCCCGUCCCUGUGCGGCUGCCCCCCCCUCGGAGGAGCGGAGCGAGAACCGCACAUGCGGGCAACAGGCUGCGUCUGCUCUGCUCUGGAAAUGAAAGUGGGAGGCAUCCACAACGGAGAGCGAGCGCCGUGGGGUUUGCUUAACCCCUGACAGAAGAAGUGGGACUCCCCAUGUGCAGAAGGACCCCUCGCCUCCCUCUGCCCUGCGAGUGCCCUGCUCCUGGCUGCGACGAGCUCCUGCCUGUGCCUGCGGCCUCCUUGGAAGUGGUGCUGGGAGUAUGGCUUGGGCUSGUUAUGACUCCAGCUUGGGGGCUCGUUACAGCURUCUGGGCUUUUGACAAGGUCGUAAAUCAAUCACUGUCAUAACUUGCAUAUUAAUAUCAUCUUUAAUAUUGCAUACAUAUUGAACAAUUAGUUUAUGAACAAUGUACACACAUUGAAUAAAUAUUCCGAGUCUUGUACA
rnacentral:lncRNA from 1 species